rnacentral:lncRNA from 1 species
GUCCAAAGUACACGGAUACCCCACUUGCACUAUCAUUUUCCAUGUUCAAUGGACCGUGAAAUUGGGUAAAAAAUCUAAUUUGGCAUUAAAAUUAGAAAGAUCAUACCAUAGGGAACAUGUGUACUAAGUUUCAAGUUGGUUAGUCUUCAACUUCAUCAAAAACUACCUUGACCAAAAACUUUAACUUGAAACUGGCACUUCCA